AACUGGGCACGCUCUCGCAACGACGGUCGACCUCGGCGACGAUACAUAGCUGAAAGGAACAAAUCGGGGUCAGAUACAACGCAACACUCUCGACCCAAUCAACGAAAGUCUAGAAGGCGGUCCCUGUUUUCCUCCAAAAUUAUGUCGUCUGCAGCCAACAUAAUUUCUCAGGCCAAAACAGGAACUCCUUCAAUCACUCACCCCACUCUAGGAGGAGUUAGAACAGAUAAUCAUUGACUUUCGCAAUAAAAUUACGCCUCUCGCGUCUUACUUUCCUAAGGUUUGCCAAACUUAGGUUUCCUAGAUCCCAACGACCUAUAGCAAGGCUCUGAUACCAACUUAAUCU
rnacentral:lncRNA from 1 species